rnacentral:snRNA from 1 species
GUGCUCGCUUCGGCAGCACAUAUACUAAAAUUGGAACGAUACAGAGGAGAGUUAACAUGCACCAAUAAUAUUUAUAAUUUAUUUUAUUUUAAAUUUUUU